rnacentral:sRNA from 1 species
CGUGUAUGCUCCCGCCCCGUCAUUGGGGAGUAACCUCCUGCGGCGUUACGCCGCCGGGCUUACAUCAACACACUUGGCCGGUUGGGCCAUGGUGUAAGCGGCUUCAGUGCUUGGUGAGACCUUUGAUCAUGUCGUUCCGGUAUGGGCCGCGGACGGCGUGGUCAAUUGUGUCCUCCGGCCCUGAACGCU